rnacentral:misc_RNA from 1 species
GAAGCUGGCCAUAGAGAAGAUCAAAGCUAAAGACCCCACAUUUGAACCCGAGACCUACGGCCUUGACAUGUACAUUCUCCCUCCUGAAGCUGAUGACCAAGAAUUCUCAUCAUAGGGAAGUGACGAUGGGUGCUAAUCACAAGUAAGCUUGAGAUAUGGCUGAGGGAGUAAGUUUAUGAGAUUUUGGUCAUAAAUGUGUUGUUGAUGUAAGUGCUGAAGAACGAAAAGAUCCCCGGAGCGUCG